rnacentral:rRNA from 1 species
AUACGGAGGAUCCGAGCGUUAUCCGGAUUUAUUGGGUUUAAAGGGUGCGCAGGCGGGGGACUCAGUCGGUGGUGAAAUCUUUCAGCUUAACUGUAAGCGUGCCAUUGAUACUGGUUUUCUUGAGUGUGGAUGAAGUAGGCGGAAUUUGUGGUGUAGCGGUGAAAUGCAUAGAUAUCACGAGGAACUCCGAUUGCGUAGGCAGCUUACUAAACCAUAACUGACGCUCAUGCACGAAGGCGUGGGGAUCAAACAGGAUUAGAUACCCUGGUAGUCCACGCUGUAAACGAUGAUUACUGGCUGUUUGCGAUACACAGUAAGCGGCCCAGCGAAAGCGUUAAGUAAUCCACCUGGGGAGUACGUUCGCAAGAAUGAAACUCAAAUGAAUUGACGGGG